rnacentral:rRNA from 1 species
CAUGGCUGUCGUCAGCUCGUGUUGUGAAAUGUUGGGUUAAGUCCCGCAACGAGCGCAACCCUUAUCCUUUGUUGCCAGCGGUCCGGCCGGGAACUCAAAGGAGACUGCCAGUGAUAAACUGGAGGAAGGUGGGGAUGACGUCAAGUCAUCAUGGCCCUUACGACCAGGGCUACACACGUGCUACAAUGGCGCAUACAAAGAGAAGCGACCUCGCGAGAGCAAGCGGACCUCAUAAAGUGCGUCGUAGUCCGGAUUGGAGUCUGCAACUCGACUCCAUGAAGUCGGAAUCGCUAGUAAUCGUGGAUCAGAAUGCCACGGUGAAUACGUUCCCGGGCCUUGUACACACCGCCCGUCACACCAUGGGAGUGGGUUGCAAAAGAAGUAGGUAGCUUAACCUUCGGGAGGGCGCUUACCACUUUGUGAUUCAUGACUGGGGUGAAGUCGUAACAAGGUAACCGUAGGGGAACCUGCGGUUGGAUCAC